GAUGAACGCUGGCGGCGUGCUUAACACAUGCAAGUCGAACGAGAAGUGGAGACGGACACCUUCGGGCGGAAGACUUUAUUUCGAGUGGCGGACGGGUGAGUAACGCGUGGGUAACCUGCCUCAUACAGGGGGAUAACAGUUGGAAACGACUGUUAAUACCGCAUAAGACCACAGCACCGCAUGGUGCGGGGGUAAAAACUCCGGUGGUAUGAGAUGGACCCGCGUUCGAUUAGCCAGUUGGCGGGGUAACGGCCCACCAAAGCGACGAUCGAUAGCCGAUCUGAGAGGAUGACCGGCCACAUUGGGACUGAGACACGGCCCAAACUCCUACGGGAGGCAGCAGUGGGGAAUAUUGCACAAUGGGGGAAACCCUGAUGCAGCGACGCCGCGUGAGUGAAGAAGUAUUGCGGUAUGUAAAGCUCUAUCAGCAGGGAAGAAAAUGACGGUACCUGAGUAAGAAGCCCCGGCUAACUACGUGC
rnacentral:rRNA from 1 species